rnacentral:rRNA from 1 species
UUUUAUGGAGAGUUUGAUCCUGGCUCAGAGUGAACGCUGGCGGCGUGCCUAAUACAUGCAAGUCGAACGAUGAAGCUUCUAGCUUGCUAGAAGUGGAUUAGUGGCGCACGGGUGAGUAAGGUAUAGUUAAUCUGCCCUACACAAGAGGACAACAGUUGGAAACGACUGCUAAUACUCUAUACUCCUGCUUAACACAAGUUGAGCAGGGAAAGUUUUUCGGUGUAGGAUGAGACUAUAUAGUAUCAGCUAGUUGGUAAGGUAAUGGCUUACCAAGGCUAUGACGCUUAACUGGUCUGAGAGGAUGAUCAGUCACACUGGAACUGAGACACGGUCCAGACUCCUACGGGAGGCAGCAGUAGGGAAUAUUGCGCAAUGGGGGAAACCCUGACGCAGCAACGCCGCGUGGAGGAUGACACUUUUCGGAGCGUAAACUCCUUUUCUUAGGGAAGAAUUCUGACGGUACCUAAGGAAUAAGCACCGGCUAACU